GCGAAUGGCUCAUUAAAUCAGUUAUCGUUUAUUUGAUAGUACCUUACUACUUGGAUAACCGUGGUAAUUCUAGAGCUAAUACAUGCUGAAAACCCCAACUUCGGGAGGGGUGUAUUUAUUAGAUAAAAAACCAACGCCCUUCGGGGCUUCUUGGUGAUUCAUGAUAACUUAACGGAUCGCAUGGCCUUGCGCCGGCGACGGUUCAUUCAAAUUUCUGCCCUAUCAACUUUCGAUGGUAAGGUAUUGGCUUACCAUGGUUUCAACGGGUAACGGGGAAUUAGGGUUCGAUUCCGGAGAGGGAGCCUGAGAAACGGCUACCACAUCCAAGGAAGGCAGCAGGCGCGCAAAUUACCCAAUCCUGAUACAGGGAGGUAGUGACAAUAAAUACUGAUACAGGGCUCUUUUGGGUCUUGUAAUUGGAAUGAGUACAAUUUAAACCUCUUAACGAGGAACAAUUGGAGGGCAAGUCUGGUGCCAGCAGCCGCGGUAAUUCCAGCUCCAAUAGCGUAUAUUAAAGUUGUUGCAGUUAAAAAGCUCGUAGUUGAACCUUGGGUCUGGCUGGCAGGUCCGCCUCACCGCGUGUACUUGUCCGGCCGGGCCUUCCUUCUGGAGAACCUCAUGCCCUUCACUGGGCGUGUUGGGGACCAGGACUUUUACUUUGAAAAAAUUAGAGUGUUCAAAGCAGGCCUUUGCUCGAAUACGUUAGCAUGGAAUAAUAAAAUAGGACGUGCGGUCCUAUUUUGUUGGUUUCUAGGACCGCCGUAAUGAUUAAUAGGGACAGUCGGGGGCAUCAGUAUUCAAUUGUCAGAGGUGAAAUUCUUGGAUUUAUUGAAGACUAACUACUGCGAAAGCAUUUGCCAAGGAUGUUUUCAUUAAUCAGUGAACGAAAGUUAGGGGAUCGAAGACGAUCAGAUACCGUCGUAGUCUUAACCGUAAACUAUGCCGACUAGGGAUCGGGCGAUGUUCUUUUUCUGACUCGCUCGGCACCUUACGAGAAAUCAAAGUUUUUGGGUCUGGGG
rnacentral:rRNA from 1 species